rnacentral:lncRNA from 1 species
AGGAGUGCAUCCACCUCCUCCUCAGGCUUGAGCGAGUGCCACUGGGCGAUGGGCCUCCGGGGGUUGGCCAGCAUGUCGGACCAGUGCCGCAGCUCUGUGCCCGUGGCAUUGCUGCCCACGAAGAUCUUGCCUAUGGCUUCGUUCUUGCCCAGCUUGUCAUAGUCCAGCACGGUGACCACUACCUGGACUUUCUGCAAGGAAAACGAGGGAGGGAGUUGGCAGACAGAGACGUGGGAUCCCAUGACCAAAUUUAUCCUCCAUCAACCUCUACUCCCAAUGAUUGGGAAGAAAAGGGGGAUCCCUGAAGCACUUGGGAAGGAGGCCCCACCCAGGCACCAUUAGACCUCGAGCCUUCCCCUACCAAGAAAGGCUGUUCCAUGGUCUCUAGACAAGAAACUGAGGCCAAAGAACGGAAAUGACCUGCCCGAGGUCACACAGCGGGUCAGUGACAGAGCCAGGCUGGCACUGAAACGCGCUGGUUGGAGCCCAUGCCCAGGGCUGAUUCUCUGGGAAGGCAGCUGAGGCAGCAGGCUUCAUCCACUAGAGCCCUGUGCCAUGGGCCAGCCCCAUUCACUGCCAGGUCUCUCCACUCCUCAAUGGGCUGGCCGAGGUCCACUGUGUUCAUAGGCACCUUUACCUCUCCAAUGAUGUCAUGUUUGGAGAAGCGGUCAAAGUCAUAGAUGGCCAUCACCAGAGUUUUGCCCCCAAGCUCCUGGUAUGGCACCUGCAGGGCACAAGCAGAAUCAGAGGGGGCCAGAGCGACUCACGCACCUCCAGGGGUGCUAUGGGCAGGGGCCUGCAUUCCAGCCCACAGGGUCCAGCAGCAUUUCUUGCAGAUGCAGAAGCAGCAGGUGAGAAGCAGGAGCCCAGCAACCACAGCAAUGGCGAUCAGUGCCCAGGGUGGUACUGCCCACACAGAGAAGAUCCCAGGGUCAGCAGUGCCAUGCCUUGCAGCCCCUGACCCCGUAGCAUUGGGAAAAAUGGGUGAGGAAUAUGACUGCCAUCCCACAAUGCCCACACCCCACAUUUUAAAAGCCACACACCCAUGAGUGAUUUGUAUGUAAGGUGCAUAUACUUUGCAUGCCUUUUCAAUCAUGCCUUGCUUUUUUUUUUUUUUUUUUUUUUUUUGCCUACUGUCCUUGUUGGUAUAGCCUGCUAGCUGAGAGGUAGCAACCAGGUGGAUGCAUGGAAGAAUAUCAGUUUAGCUCUAUUGAGUUUUACUAGUGUGAUCUAUGGAGGACUGGCUCACUCUAGAGAGGAUGGGAUGAUGCUUAUCAGUCCUUUGGCCUCUGCCCCUUGUGCCAAGUCUUGAGA